CCUUAACUGUAUGUUCCCCUUUUAUCAAAAUUCCAAUAAAUUUUGAUUAUUUUAAGCUUUUCGAAGCUCCACUCGCUGACUCGCAUUCAUUCGCAUUUCAUUGACGUGAGCAAAAUUAUUGACGUGAGGAAAAUGUUCAGCCGAUUUUUCAAGCGACCAAUCAGAAUUUGCUUGCGUUAGGAGAAAUUGAAAUUUCAUCAUUACGAAAGAACUUGUGCCUUAAAGAGAAGCUAUCACCCCCCUGAAAACAUCCUGAAAUUUAAUGUUCCAGGGGGUAAAUGCCUCUCUUUAGGGUACUUGCUAAGAACAUGGCCACCAGAUACAGUAUGUGCGGUAAAAACUACUUUAUGGUUUUUACGGUUUUUUUGCGCCACUGUUUACAGCGGGAUGA